GAGGCCCCGCCCCCCCCAAACGAGGCCCCGCCCACCGCCGUGGUGGUUCUGCUGCCGCUUGGCCUCGGCCAAUCGCUGGUUGAGCUUCUGGAUGUGGGGGAGGUGCUGGGCCAACCGGGCGGCCUCGCGCUGGCCCCGCAGCACCAGGGGCAGGAGGAGGAGCCGGACCCCGACGGUGCCUGGAAAAGACCCCGAAAGCGGGGAAAUUCGACCCAAAAUUCGUCUCGAAAGCGGAGAAAUUUACCCCAAAAUUUGUCUCGAAAUUCGCCCCGAAAUCGGGGAAAUUCGCCCCAAAAUUCACACAAAAAUCAGGAAAAUUCGCCGCAAAAUUCCACCCCAAAAUCAGUGAAAUUCACCCCAAAAUUCACCUCAAAAUUCGACUUAAAAUCAGGAAAAUUCACCCCAAAAUUCACACAAAAAUCAGGAAAAUUCGCCCCAAAAUUCGCCUCGAAAUUUGCCCCAAAAUCAGGAAAAAUUGCCCCAAACUUCGCCUCAAAAUUCGACUUGAAAUCAGGGAAAUUCACCCCAAAAUUCGCCUCAAAAUUCGACUUAAAAUCAGGGAAAUUCACCCCAAAAUUCGACUUAAAAUCAGGGAAAUUCGCCCAAAAAUUCGCCUUGAAAUUCGACUUAAUAUCAGGGAAAUUCGCCCAAAAAUUUGCCUCGAAAUUCGAGUUAAAAUCAGGAAAAUUCACCCCAAAAUUCACCUCAAAAUUCGACUUAAAAUCAGGAAAAUUUGCCCCAAAAUUCGCCUCUAAAUUCGACUUAAAAUCAGGGAAAUUCGCCCAAAAAUUUGCCUCGAAAUUCGAGUUAAAAUCAGGAAAAUUCGCCCCAAAAUUCACCUCAAAAUUCGACUUAAAAUCAGGGAAAUUCACCCCAAAAUUCGUCUCAGAAUUCGACUUAAAAUCGGGAAAAUUCGCCCCAAAAUUCACCCCAAAAUCAGGAAAAUUCACCCCAAAAUUCUCCCAAAAAUCAGGAAAAUUCACCCCAAAAUUCGCCCCAAAAUCAGGAAAAUUCAACUCAAAAUUCACACAAAAAUCAGGAAAAUUCACCCCAAAAUUCACAUAAAAAUCAGGAAAAUUCACCCC
rnacentral:lncRNA from 1 species